ACCUGUCCUACAGGAUCUGGGAGCACCACAGUCAGGACAACAGCAUGGAGUUGACAUCCUACAGAUCUGUAGGUGACAUCGUCUGUGAUCCAAGGGUUGCUGGGCAGGCAUCCUGACAUGAUGGGAUCGUGUGGGCCAUGCUGGCUACUGAACUUCAGGGUCUCUUGUUGCCCCUCACUCACGCCUCGAGGCAGACAGAGGACUUCACCCGGUUCCUGCCCAACGCCUUCCUGAAGCACUGGAUCUAGGACAUCAGAGCUGAAUCAGGACCUGUGAGGUAAGGUAGGGGAAGGGGGGUGGGCAUCCCUAUCCCCCAAGUUUCUCAGACCUACCUCACACUUAUAGAAAUCCGAGCUCUAGGUCUGGAAGACACAGAUGGUUUGAGUUACAAAGCAGCCUUCUGGGUUCAGAAAUCCUUUCAAGCCACCACCCAGAGCUGAGACCUUGUCCCACCAGGAUGUAGCAAAGAAUGGCUCAGACCUGCAGCCCAACUUUUGGAGCUUCUUCCUCCUAGCCCUAUAGGAGGCCUUUGACAGCCUUUAUCUGGAGACUCUGAAGAUGUUCUACAAAACUCUAAGGUUCCCCAGGCUACCUAGAAAUUCUUCACUUGUUAUUUACCUGCCAUAUUUUCUGACAACUUCAACUAUUUUCGUUGUUGAGACAAGGUUUUCUUUAGUUUAUUCUGGCCUUGAACUCACAGUGUAGUUGAGGAUACCCUUACAGUUGUGAGCCUUCUGCUUUCACCUCCCAAGUAACCACGAUUAGAGGUGUCUGCCAUCAUAAGUGACAUUUAAAGUAUUUCUGUUUGUUUGUUGUUUGCUUUGGUUUGGGUUUUCAAGACAAGGUUUCUCUGUAUAACAACCCUGG